AAUGGAGUCACUGCCCCACUGGCAUUCUAAGGGACCCUAUGUGCCCCCUUUUUGCUACGGCUUGUGAAGCCGUGCCCUAAUCUCCGAAGGCCUGGCGACAGGAGCUGUGACUACACAAGCAGUCGUUCCGGAAGGGUGGUUGAAUGUGCAUUUGGCAGAUUGAAAUCCCUGUGGCGAUGCUCACAGAGCCAUCCGCUGCCAGUGUCAGCAAUGCCGCCCAUUGUUUUUGCCUGCUAGGGUCUGCCCAAUGAGUGCCAGGACACAGAGAAGAGGCCUGGUCUGUGGCUAGGACUGGUUUCCAGCAACUCCCAACUUCCAGUGCAGAGGAAGGCUAGUCACACAAACACCCUGCCUCAGUUUCCCCAAGUGAAGAGUUCUGAUGCAAUGCAGGAGAGCCUGGCAAAUGAUUGCAAAUGAGCAGCAUACGACUGCAAACACCACAGGACAGCCCUCGAGUCCUUACAAAGCAAAAAUAAACCUGAUCAGCAGCCACCAGCCACGGGAGCAAAGGAAAAAAUAACUCUGCUUUGGAAUCUGUUUGUCUAACGGCUCCCCCGGAACCCGCCUUUGCCCACCACUGCAUGUACAAAGUGUCCUGCAGCAGGAACAGCCAGAGCGUGUGCUCAGCUGCAC